CUCGUGUGGCGCCCGACGCGCGCGUUUUCGGGUCCCCGUCGAGCCCUCUGGGUGGGAUGGCGUCCACAGGCGCGGCCCGCGUCCGGCCGCGUGAGCGCCGGAGCCCCCCAGCAGCCCCGGCAGCAGCGCCGGCCCCUUUCCUGGUAGGCGGCGCCGAGCCUAGAGGUCCUCUGCCCCCACCCCCGGGCCUUGGGUCAGUUGUCGUCCUGGCACGCGAUGGGGACGUCGGCGGCCCUGGCCGGACGCGGGCUUCCUGACCCAGGGGAAGGGCAGUGCUCGUGGCCGCCGUUGCCUCCCCCUCCCCGGGCCGAGCGCCCAGGCUCGGGCUCUCCCGGACAGGGUCGCGCUGCAGCCCCGGGGCUGGAGACUGCGGGCAGCCUUCCUCCUCCAUCCGGAGUCCCUCUCCCGGGUCUCGCGGUCAUCGCCACCGGGUGGGACGCGCUCCUCGAGGACGCCAUUCGGCACAGGUUUUCCUCUAGGGAGCUAGCCUACCCCAGAAGCAAGGCUCGGGCUAGACCUCGGGCGGCGGUGCUGCGGAACCGCGCUUUUCCUGGCACCGCGGCAGACUCGUCAAGCGCGUCCUGUUUAACAGGGAGGGGUCGCUGGUCCGCUGCGGCCCCAGUGUCCGCGUAGCACCUGGCUCGCGCCCUUUCGGCACCCUGGGUCCGUCCUCGCGCACCUUCUCCAGCUCUCCCCGCACCCUGGGAUCCUCUCCUUCAGGCUCAUUUCACCCCAUGGUCCAGCCUAACUAUCCGUGCCGGGCACACACGUCGACACCCUGGCCGCAUCCUCACCGUGACCGUGCGCCCCUACCCAGGGGACCGCGCGGCCCCUAAGGGGCCGCAGGAUGUCGGGGGCGGAGCCUCGAGCGGCCCUCGGGGCUGCGGGGUCCUGAGUGCGGGGGUGGCACGUGCUCCUGCUCCACCGCCGGCGCCCCAGCGCUGGUGUCCCGUCGCCCCAGCCGGCCUCCUCCUUCGCCUCUCCAAGGGCACCGGAAUCUCCUCCACUGGGCCUUUCCCUUCCUGUGAUUUCUUCUGUAGCCAAACAAAACAAACCUCCUGAGUCGCUCGCCUCCCCCCACUAAGGCCUCUCCUGGCUGUCCAGUUUCUCCUCCUUUCUCUCUUAGCCCACUCCUGUCCGGCCUGCGUCCGCGCGCUGCUCCGACCCAUCUGCAGAAUCCAAGGACCAGUCUUCAGCCCUCACCAGGUGGCCAUCAGCGGCCCGUGGUCCCCUCCCCUCUGCGCUCCAUCUUUGCCUCCCUCCUCCGGGGGCUGCUGGGCAGUCCUUUGCCCCCCAUCUCUUCAUAUCCUCACCCCAAGGCCGUGUCCUUGGGCCUUUUCUUCACCUACACCCUGUCCUUUGUGACUGAAUCCAGUCGUGGCUGCAAAACCAGCCAUGUGGUUCCCACGUCCAGCUGCCCCCUGGACGUCUCCACCUGGAGAAGAGACUUCUCAACGUGAGCUGGCCGGAAACCCAUCUGCUUUCACCCUCCUUCUGCUCACCAGCUCUCUCCACAGCCUUCCCCAUCCCAGGAAUUUGACUCACUCCUGCAUUCAUCUUCCCAGAAGGGGGAACCAAGGUGGGGAGGUUGAGUCCAUGGGAGUCACUGAUGGACACAGGAUGUGAGAGAAAGGGAGGAGGCAAAGAUGGCGUCAAGUUUCAACUAUAAACACCAAGAAGUGGGACUGCAGGAUCAUAUGGAUCACUGUUCCGCACUGCCUGUUGUCUACUGCCUGAAAAACAUCGUUUCAUACUUUGCUCAGUUUUCAAUGCUUAAAGUGGUAGAUACACGGCCGUAAGUGGAGAGACAACACUGUACAUGUGCCAGGCGGGAACACACAGCCCCAGGAUGACCCCAGAACCAAGAAUCUUCAGAAAGAUUGCCACCUGAGACCUUUAUGAAGUGAGAAGUUCUUCAGUAAGGAAAAUCUGGCUUCCAGCAGCUUGACUACCGUAUAUGGACUGACUCGAGAUUAGCCAAUAAGCUUCUGCCCCUAAUUCCUUAAAUUUUGCCCUGAAUCCUAGAUUGGGGAGACAGAUUUGAGAGCCUUGCCUCCUAUCUUCUUGCCAGUCAACCUCACAAUAAAAUUCUUUCUUUUCUCAAAAACUGGUGCCAUAGUGUUGGCUUCUAUGUAUGUCGGGUAGCGAGCCCUUGCUCGGUAAUACUCUCAGACCAUAGCAGAAUUAAACUAGAAAUCAAUAACAGAAAGAUAGCUGGAAAAUCCCUAAAUACUUGAAGAUUA
ensembl:lncRNA